GGAGGGGUACCCGAGUGGCCAAAGGGGCUGGGCUGUAAACCCAGUGGCUUCGCCUUCGGAGGUUCGAAUCCUCCCCCCUCCA
rnacentral:tRNA from 1 species